UCCUCCCUCUAUUUCUCCUUUCCUCCCUCCUUCCCGCCCUCUCUCUUUCUCCAUAAUGUCUAUUUGUUGCUCUCUGUACCUACUCAUGUCUGCUGCUAGAGGAAGUCUCUUUGAUAAUGACUGGACAAGGCAACUGAUCUAUUAGUAUAAUAGGAUAUCAUUGGAAAUUAUUUCAUUGUUUUCUUUUCCAGUUAGGUUUUAUUCUACCCUACAUAUCUGUAUUCUCCAGUCUCCAGCUCCUGGCCAUCCAGGAAGUGGAGGGUAUGGGCCCCCUCUCAUAUUGACUGUCCCAUAUUCUGAGCCACCAUUGCCCUAGCACAUCUUGCAGGCAGGAUAGAUUUCAGGUUUAGGGUUUUGUGGCUGGUUUGGUAUCCAGGUUUCUCUUUCCAUGACCUGCAAAGUACCUUCUUGUGCCAAAGAGACUGCAACUUAAGGGCAAAGGCCCAUGUAGGCUCCAACCCAACUUCUCUAUAUUCAUUGAGGUGUGUGGAUGUUGUCCUCAGCAACGGGGUCCUACUAUCAGUUUUCAGAGUGACCUUCUGUCCUGGCAUCAGUUUGGGCUGUUCAGGGAUUUCUACAGGACAUCCCUGGCCAACAACUCAACUGAUUACAACCUAGUCCCACGUUGGGAAGACUUGCCCAACCAUAAAAGAUGACCACUUCAGACUCCAUAUCCUGUAUUACUAGUGAAUUAGGCAUUGCCAGUGCUGGUUGGGUGCUUGCCUCACUAACAUGUGCUUCAGGGGCUCAUUACAGUUAGUGUGUUAUCUAUCACAGCCAUGGAGACUGGUUCCAUUUCUUAUCCAACCUUGAGAAAUAAAAUUUAUAAAUAAAAUGUAAUGUUUAAUGUUGUAAAAAUUACUUAGUCUCAAUCGGAGGUUUCUGCCCCACUCCUGACCAUUCAGUUUCUGGAUAAAAGACACACAACUUUUAUUAUUUUAAUAAGCCUUAACCAGCACUAAAGCCGGGUAGAUAUCUACCCUCUAUGCUAUUAGAAUCUAUUUCCCCAUCAUUAACCCCAUUUUAUAAUUUGCCAUGUUCCAUCUGGGCAGCUCUUGACUCUAACUGGCCCACCCUCAUAGCCAUAUUUUAAUUACUCACCUACCCCAUGGUGGCUUCCUCCUUCUCUCUUCUCAUGGCUUCCUUAGACCCCAAGGCCAGGGACCCAAGAACCCUUCCUAUCUCUCUUCUGCCCAGCUAUUUGCUGUAGGCAUCUUCAUUUACUAAUUAUGGAUAAUUUGGGGGGCACAAGGUUAUAUAGCAUCACUUGGGUAUGUCAUUUGGGUAUAUGCAGACUCUCUCAUCCCUGGGGGCAACUAGGCCUUGGUGACCAAUAUUUAGCAUUAUAAUUCAAGCAAAGACCAAACCUCAACAUUUUAGUAUAAAUAUAUAGUUUUAUUGUGAUAAGGUUUCUAUGCAUCCCCAACUGCCCUUGAACUCAUGUGGAUCCUCUUGCCUCAGCCUCCCAAAUUCUGGGAUACUAAGUGUGAGCUGUCAUCAUAUCUGUCUUCAUAAUCCUUUUAAUGAUGUUCUUAAGCAUCUUAAAACUUACAAAAAGAACUUAUAAGUCAUGGCCACAAGCUUCAUGUGCUUUUAGAGAAACUAAAGCAAUGCAAGUUUUGCUUUGCUUAGAAUGUGGCUCUUUUAUUUGUAUUUGCUCUCUAAAUUUUAUGGGUUAAUGUAAGGCAGUUACAAUCUUAAUUAAUUAAUUAACUAACAGCAGAUUAGGGUCUUUGCACUUCUGAUUCUCUCUUUGUUUGCACCUAUAGACAUUUAGAAUAAAAGUUUUAAUCAGUGAAACAGGGAGCCUAAGCCCUCUUUCUUGAAAUACUGGUUCUCUGGAUUCCUUUGAAUAUCAGGUGGAAACAAUGAAAUGUCAGACCAGCACUAGCUUCCACAGGGCCUGGCACUAAUCCAAGGCCCUGAAGAUCCUGAGUGCUAAGGCUGCAUGGCCAAGUACUCUGGAUUGUUACAUGGAAAGACUUGGAUUUGAGCCUGUUGGUUUCUGCUUACAUGACUUUUAUAUAUGCCUGUGCACAAAGGUUCAUGUGUGUCUGUGUUUGUAUCUGUGUGUGUAUAACUCUGUGUGUAUAUGUCUGUAUCUCUUUAUGUGUGCCUGUAUCUCUGUCUCUAUCUCUGUCUCUCUGUCUCUCUCUCUCUGCCUCUCUCUCUCUCUCAGUGUGUGUGUGUGUGUGUGUGCGUGUGUGUGUAGGUUGUACCAGGACCUUGUGAAUGCUAGACAGGGGCUCUUCCUCUGAGCUAUAGUCACAGCCCCUUAUGUUAACUUUGGAAAGUUAUUACAACCUUGUUUCUUUAGGCAUAAAAUGUUAAUGACAAAAGUGAUAACAGCUAGCUUGCAGUGUUGUUGUGAAGAAUAAAUUUAAAAGCACAUAUAGAAUACCUCACUACAGAAUUCCUAUGGUAGCAUUUCUCAAAUUGUAAAGUACCUAUGGGCAUCCUGUCCAAAGGCAGACUAUCAUCCACCCAGGCUGGAUGAAACCUGAGAUCCGUAUUUCCCAGAAGCUCUCAGGAGAUGCAGAACCCAGAGAAGCAACAUCUUCAGAGAACUGCCUCUACCUUUGAGUACUUUAUGAGUUAGAAUGACAGAUCAUUUUCACUGAUAACUUUGAACUUAAUGUCUGACAAUUUCAUAGGUAAUGAUGUGUACAUGAAGUAAAGAUUUCAGUGGAUUAUCACUGGGAACGAGUUCAUUGUAUUGAUGCCAGAAAAUAAGUUUCAAGUCCUGUUUGGAACAAGACAGCUUUAACAGACACACCAACACAGAAGCAUUCCCAUUCAUGCCAUUGCAUCACAUGCUCCCUUUUGGCAGAUUUUUUUAAUGGAAGCCAUAAUAGGUUAGUUUUUCAAUUAUUCUUCUAAAAUGGAAACCUGUGGCCCUCAGAGCAUUGUUCAUUCUGUAUGUUGAGUAGGAAUUUCUGAAAUUAAACAUGUCCAAUGGAUGACUGAAAAACUUGAUUCUGUGGAUUUGAGAAGGGCUUGCACUAUGCAGUAUAGCUUUGAAGUUAAGAUUUGUUUGCCCCAGCUUUAUGAAAACUGGGUUAUAGGCACACGCCAUGCAAACAGGAAUGUGGAUCUUAAAAUAGAAUUUUGAAGAUGUGAGAGGAUAAACUUUGCAGGAAUGUGGAAUCUUUUUCCACACUGACAACAAGGUAGAACCUCUGAUUUUUCCUUUCUUUCAUAAAGGGGCUUUGGCAAUUGUGUUGCUUCUCACAGGGGGUCAGGCUGCCUUGGUCCUGAAUCUGUUCUCUGAUAACUACUAACUCAGCUGCUGCAUUAAGUGCCAAGACCAGUGAAGGGUUUCAUGCCACCUUUGAAUUGAGGUCACAAAUUCUUCUGGGGCUAGCAGAUGAUAUUCUGUUCUGCAAUUUUUUAAAAGUUUUAUUUUGUGUUUCCUAACUGUUACUGCCCCCUCUUGCAGGAAUCCUUUGAAGUGGUAGUAUACUUAAAACUUUGUCUGAUAAAGUGUAAACGGGGGGAUGAGGCCUGCUCCAAACAGGCUGAUGUUCUUGGGACUGUGACUCACCUGUCCUCAGCCUUUUAUUACGUGACCCUCCUUUCAGUACAGCACCAAUGAAAGAGAAGCACACUAGAGGUCACUUCACCCUGAAUCCCUUGCUUUUUAGGAAGUUUGCAGUGGAAGCUCUUCCAUAUGAAGCUUGCAUGCUGCCAGGCCUUAGAUUGCAGCCCUUCAUGAAAUAAGGCAGAAUGGCAAAAGGGCUGAGGCUCGGAAAAGGAGUUAAUGGAAACAUACACUUCAUGUGCUCGAAUGCAAUCAGAAAUGACAGGUACACAUCUAACCUUCUAAAAAUGAGGAAAUAGCUUCCCUUAGCACACAUGCUUGAUCAGUCACACCUCUAUCCUGUCGGUUCAAGUCACAAGUAGAUUGGAGGGGGCAUUUACUGCAGUGGGUUUCCUAUUCAGACAGCACAGCAAAUGAACAGAGUCAGUGACUCCCGAAGUCACCUGUGGAGACGGUGAAAAUAUUUAUAAUUCUCAACUCCCACCACAUUCAUGGAAAGAGAAUUAUAGUGGAGGGGGCUCUAAUCACCUGGAAUUUUAGCCUGCUCUGUGGCUGAUUUGAAUGCACCGGUCCUGAUAAGUGGCUUGGUGUUAAGUAGCCCUUUCUGGUAAUGAUGGGUUAUUUUCUUGAGAGGAGAAGGUAAUGAAUUAGUGUUGACAGGCCAGAGCUUUGGUUUCAACCGAGAUACUUCAGUUCUGCCCUUUCUAGUCAGAUGGAUUAUUUCCUUAAAGCGCAUGCCCUGGGGCAGUAUAUGGUUUACUGUAGAGUUCUGCUUCUCCAAGCCUGGCCUUGCAUCAGCAGUGGCAGCAUCACUCACUACAGGGAAGAUGGUAGACAUGCAGAAAGUCAGGAUCACCCUGCUUGGCAUCUACGUUGCCCGGAAUUUACAGUGCAUAGAGCCAUCACACUUUGAUUGUUCUUUAGAGUUAGCCACAGAUUGGAUUCUUUUCAUUUAAUGCUGUUCAUGUUCCAAAUACAGUGUGGUGGCCAUCUACAUGGCCUGGCGAGUAAGCAUGCUUCUUGUGAAAACCUGAUGAUUUGAAUCUGAUCCAGGAAACCUGGAAGGAGAGAGCUAAGCCCACAAAGUUGGCCUCUGAUCUCUAUGCACUUGUGAUUUCCCAUCACCUACAUGUAAUAAAUAAAAAGUAAAAAAUAAAUGAACAAAUGAAUGAAUAAAUAAACAAACAAAUUUAGGAGCAUGGGGUGGGGAUUAACACAAAAACAUUGUAUGGUGUUUAUUGUUCUGGUCUUAUUGUUAUUGAUUACAGUAAUUGCUGCUGGGGGUGAACAAUAGUUUACACUUCAGUAAAACUUUGAAAAUUGCCUCUCAGUUCCUUCUUUUUAUAUUUAAGCACAUAACCAUAAACUGUAAAGCCAGAAUCAUAGUUUAAAAGUAGACAUAAUGUAUCCACAAAUAAAAGCUCAUCUAGCAACCAAUAAAAUGGAAACUUGUGAAUGUUUGAAGCACAUUCUCAGCCAGAUUAAAAGAAAAAAAACAGAUCAAAUAAAAUAUUUGGAAACUAUGCUAUUUGUUGAUGCCUAUAAAAUUUAAAAAUAAACCCAACAAAUCUGCUUAUUCCUGCAAACUCUAAAUUUUGUGAGUUCCCAUGAUUAUUGGAAUCACCAUUGUAAAUGUGUUGCUAAAUUUAAUUCUUUAUUUGACUUUUAAAACUCACCAGUUUACUGUUUGCAGUUUAACUCUGGCAAAAGGGUAGAAAACUCUGACUUUUAAGAGGCCUCUGGACUCUGUUCCUCAAAAAAUAUUUUAAGCCAUUUAAACUCUGAAAGGCACAUAAAGAAGUAUUAGCCAGCCAGGGGAAUAUUAGGUUUAUGAAGGAUUUUGAAAUUUCUUUACAACUUUUUUUUUUGUUUUGCAGUAGCCAUCAUGGGCACAUCACCUUGACCUUCCCCAAUAUUUUGUUGUUUUGUUCCCUUGGAGCACAAACUGGGCAAUCAAGUCUUCUUUAAUUGUAACAGGAUUUUGUUGUUAAUGAUAAUUUUUUAAUACAAAACCCUAAGUCUAAGAAUUCAUCAUUACGGGAGCAAAUUAUUCCCUUCCUCUUGACAAUGCAUGUUAUUUAAGCAUCUACUGCUUAAAUUCUGCCUGGGUAGGCAGCCUGACUUUGAUAGGUUCCCUGUAUUAUCUUCAUAGGAAAGGUGUUCAGGGUACUCAGAUACAUUCACCUGUCCAAUGGCCAUCUGAAACACUCACAGAGGCAGCCAGCCAAUCUCCUUGUAUCAGUGUAUGAGACUCAUUUGGGUGGAUCAGACACUUGCCUAUGCUUUUGUUCUGACCCCAUCCAUGAGCUGAAUGGCUGACCUUAUUAUAUAUCAGCUAGUGAGGGCUUUCAUGGGCUUGGAGAUAUUUCAUAAACUACCAGUUAAUGGGGGAGCUUUGCUAUGAAUUGCUUGAGCUUUUGUAUUUCAGGACAGCAAUUAUGCUUGUGGGUGGAGAGUCCUAUUGAUUGGCUCCCCUGUCUAACUCUGAACAAGGCACUGCUGUAGCACUGGGGGCUCUUCAAAGUGUCCCUUCCUGUCCGUCACAUCAACUCAUCCCCAGUAGAAGACUUGUGAAUCUGGUCACUUCAGAUUUAAGCUAAAAAAUGCCAACGAUCCAUAGAAGUCACUGUUGUUCUUUCUGCUGAGUCAUUUUUUAUCACUUAUUGUUCCCUGGUACGUGAGGGGGAAGAGAGGUCUAUUGGGGUGGGUCUGGGUGUGCAGCUAGGCCUGAUAUUUGCUCUUCCUGACACCCCUUAGUACUAUAAAUGAUCACAAAGCUGUUGUGGGGAAAUGGAUGGCCACUUGGUUUCAUAAUGACUAACUCCAUAACCUCAAGGAGUCCUACAAUGUGUGUGGAGAAACUUUUUUAGUUGCCCGUUUCUCAGCAUAUUUAUUUCAGUCACGAUUUGGAGGAGAGGAGAGGAGAGGUCAUUAAGGAGAAAACGAUAUGGACAAAUAUGUGUCUCUGGUUGAGCCAUAAAAAUCACAUUUCUUUUUGUAGGACAAGCAGCUUCAUAUUGUGCAAAUAUUUUUUUUAUCUACAUCUCAAGGCCUACAAACUCUGGUAUGAAAUAGGGGAUGUCUACAGAAGGCCUAGAGCUUUAAUUGUUCUGCCCUGAUAUGACUUGAGUCCAAAUGGUGGAAGAAAGGGAACUGGUACUUGCUGGUUUUAGGUUCUUUCCUAGUCAUUUCCCUUCACCCUUACAGUCCACCCUUCUCUAAUGCAGCUUUGAGAAACCUUCCUGCCCACAGCAUAACCCCAUCCAUUCACCUCCAGUCUGUCUGCCUUAUCCAUCUCCACACUGCCUUGCCUGUGGGCUUUUAUUACUGUUGCUGCAACUGGGUCUCUUUCUAUUGUCCAGGCAGGCUGAUCUGGAAUCCAUGACAGUCCCUCUGCCCAGCUUCCCUUGUGCUGGGAUUCCAGACUCUUGUCAACGCCUCAUCUGGAGAGAUCUCCCGAUAAUUUCCUAGAGGAUCCUUACGUCACUCAGGGUGAAGAUGAGCCUCCACUAUGCCCUCUGGGCCUCAGAGGGAGAGAUGGCCACUUGACCAUCUUAAGAUCUUUACAGAGUUCUUAAAAAAAAAAAGACUGAGAGCAGACAGACACUCCUAGAGCUGGUGUCCAAGCACUCUGCCUUCUAAGAGUCCUUAUGCUCCAUGUCCUGGGGAUCGACAGUGGGGAAGCCAAAGUCCCACCUCCCCAUCUUUUGAUUUUUGGCAGGAAUAUGAGGAGAUGCCCCAUUGCCAGACAAUAACUGCUGUGCUUCUCGAAUAUACAUGUGCUAGGGAAGCCAGGUGUCUUAAUCGGUUUGAGAAUUAUUAACUGUACUUGGCACCUUGUAGGGAUUUAAUCUUGUCAGCUAUCUACAAAGCUAUUAGGCAUCCUUUUAGGGUUCCAACAGCUUUAGUUGGGUGCUCCAUACCGUUGCUGCUCACAGUGUGGUUUUUCCGAUCAGCAUUGUCAGCAGCAUCCUGCAGUCAGUUAGCACUGCAGUGUUUCAGGCCAUGUCCCAGCACAGCUGAACAAUUUAUAGUCUAACAAGAUCCCUGGGUGAGUCCUGUGCACGUUAAGCUCGAAGAGCAUUGCUGUAACAUGAAAUGAUGAGUAUGGAAUAGCUCUUGGUUUUGUGGAGCUUAGAGAGGUCUCUAAAACCACUUUAGUGUUUACAGGCAUAAUUACAAUUCUGUAUAAAAUGGUAAAUGACAUGAGAUCUUCUCACCGGGUCCUAAGAUACAACAGCUUGUUUUAAGCUUAGAUUUAAAACUGUAUCAAAUUCAUUUUCUGACUGUUAAAUUCAACAGCUUUUAAAGGUAUAAUAAAUGUUUUUCUCUGUUCCUAUUAUCUUCAAAAGCUAUAAGCUACAUUACUUAUCAUGUAUCAGAUUGGGAGAACUAAAUUUGUUCAUGUAUAUAAGGCACAAAUGAGCCAUAAAUGCAUGUUGAACCCACUGCCUGCAUAUAAACAACAAAAGAAUAAAAAUAUCCAUUAGGUUUAGGCCCAGGAGAAGUCACACUUCAGAGAAGUCCAAGCUAAGACAAAACUGUGGCUGGAAAUGUUAGGCACCUAAAUGUCUUCUGCUCAGAACUUUGGGAAGGAAAAACCUUAUGUUUUGAAUAAAUAAGUAACGGUUAAAACAAAAACAUGCUGUGUAAUUUUCUCUGAACAGAUCAUUGACUUCAGUUGCUGUCCUUUUAAUAGCAUUAGUUUCAUCUUGUUAAGUUUACCAUUGCGGAUUUUAAGAAUUAUUUCUCAAGUAGUUAAAGUAACAGGCAAGUUCCACGGUGCUCAGCAUGCACUGGUUCUUACUAGAAUUAUUACAUGUUAUAUUUGUAUAUUGUAUAGUAUCUGCUUACUUUACUUGUCUUUUUCAUAUUGAGUAACUGGAGGACUUAAAUAUUAUAAAUACUCAUUUUCAUGGGAAUGAACUCCUUAUGUAAGUAGCUAUGACUUUAAUUUCAAUUGAAUCUGCUAACUUAAAUGUUAUUGCUUAGUUUACAUCAGUGGCUGGGUAGUACUCACAAGAUAUAAGACAGCUAAUAUGUUACUGAAAAACCAUUUAUUUUAGUAAACAUUACUUCAAGCUAUAUACAAGUGCUGAGAUUUAGCAUUUUCAACCUGCCAAUGUGGUGAUUUCACUUGAGUCAACCUAAUGCUCAGUACAAAUUUGAAUUGUUACACCAAUUAGAAUAAUUACAGCAUCAAACCUGGAAUGGCUAGACUUCUUCUUGGAGUGCUAAUUCUUAUACCUGAGAAACAAAGAGAGAGAAACAAAGAGACAGCUAAAAGAAAAAUGCUCAUUUCUGAGGAAUUUGUUUUAUACCAUUGCAUAAAUAUGUAAAAACUAAUUAGAAUUAUUAAUAACGAGGAAUUUUAUGGUAAAUUUAAGGAACCUACAAUGUCAAGUUGGAUAAACAAUAAAAAUAAAUGUGUCUGAGUCUUUCUGAAAUAAUUUUCUCUUUCUUAGCUAACACUAAACUUAGCAAGCUUCCUGAUUUUUAUUAGUAAACAACUUGUUGGUUAUUUUCAUCUUCUGUUGAUACUUGUUCCCCCUUUCACUGUUGCACAGUAGAUAAAAUAGCAACAACAUCAGUUUACUACUUUGGGAUUAGUAUGUUCUGAGGUACUUUCCAGCAAAUAGGAAAACUCUAAAAGUGUUUAAAAUAAUAUUUAUUCAAGUUCUAAUUAUGACUAGGAGACGAGUGGAGAUGAGGUAUUGUUUAGAAACCUGUGCUUUAGCUUUUUAAAUUCAUUAAAAUAAAAUGAAAUCAUAAAAACCUAAGUCAUGCCCAUUUUUCUCUUUGAAGUUAGGUUCCUGUUGAAACUGGAGAGAACACCACAAUGUAACUUAAGCUUGCUAAUAGGAGAAGUGGCUGCCUGCCAGGGCCUUCCCAGGGUGCCUUGGCCUUCCCUUUAAUGUGUUAUUAAAAAGUGCCUGUGAGGUGUUGAGACUGGACUCACAGGUCCUAGGCCUGGAGCUUCGCAAGGAAAACCCAACACUUGGUUAGCAUAUUGAAAUUAGAAGUCAUGCAGAGCCAGGCUUCCAUUAUCUAAACCUGCAAGCUGUUAAUAUGUAUACCAUCAUUCAAAUGUAUUGGGAGAUGGGAAUUUUUCCAUUCUAAAUGAGUAUUUGAGAUGCUCAUGGAAACUGACCCAGUGCUGCACUGGAACCUGCUCUCCAGGGAAUCAGAUUAGGCCCCUCAAGUAAUGUGGGCUUAGAAGUCCUCCUUAAUAGGAUCAUGUGUGUGUGACAUUGGUCUGAUGCUCUUGUUUCUGUAGAGCAGUACUGGUACUGGAGGGACCAUAAUCUUCAGACUACAGGACAGAAUAUACUUCACAUUCAUAGUGCUUCCAUAUAGAUCC